AAACGCUUGAAGUCAGUCGUGUCCUCCAGGGAUCAAGUUGCCUAUUGGGUGACCGUACUUUCUGGUGGAUGGGUCAGCAUCAAUUUUGACCGUUGGAUAAAGGCUUGGGGAAUGUGGCAUCUUCGGAUGUGUUAUAGACCUAGGUCGGAUACAAUGGUUGGGAUUGAGGAACUCAG
rnacentral:rRNA from 1 species